GUGAGAGUAUAAGCUUUCUAACGAUGUAUAACAUGUCUAAUUUUGCUUUAGGAAUAGCGUUUUAUAGCGUAACCGAAAAUUUUCUUAUCGCAUUCACUUACGCAUUCUCUCUGUGAUAGCAGUAAAAGACAUAAGACGUAAUGUAAGUAUUUCUGCUUAAAUAUUUCAGUUAUAUACGUUAUUUUUUAAAUUGAGUGUCUUUACAUAGGUUAGUGGUAUAAUAUAAUGUGGAUAUUUCACACUGUAAUGUUAGUGUUAGUAGUGUAAUAGUUUUUGUGAUGCAUGCAACAAUGAUGACGAGAGUGUUGGAACAUUGCCAAAAUGUGGUGCACGGUGAAAAUUGUUUUCAUAUCGUCCCAUCCCCGUACAAGAAAACAUAAGAGAGUGCAGAGUAUAGAAAUACAUACAAAAGUUAAUUAUUACACAUUUAGGAAGCUUUACUCCACUUUACUCCUACCAUGACUCCUCCUACCUUCACGGGUCUGUUGUGUAAUGGAGAAGCGCAACAGGCAACACGGCACGGGUAGGAUACGAAUGCUUGCAGUCCUGUACCAUGCCGUGCUAGUCAAUGGAGAAGCGGCAUAAGAAAAACUAGUGACGACAGCAAGUGACGCGGUGGAUCAGCGACGGCGUCCCGUUGUGUAUGUAAUAAAUAUGCGCCAGUUGUUGUCGUCGAGGUCGCUCCCCAUUCUGUUUUGUUUUUGUUAUGUUAAGUUUCAUUGGCUGAUGAUAUGGAUGAGGAUUCUGUGUAUUUUGGUCUGUUUUUGGUUUUUCUUUUUAGCGUAUCCUCCACUGACCAUCACUGUUGCAUGCAUCACAAAAACUAUUACACUACUAACUAACACUUACAUUACAGUGUGAAAUAUCCACAUUAUACGAUACCACUAACCUAUUUAAAGACACUCAAUUCAAAAAUAACAUGUAUAACCGAAAUAUUUUGAGCAGUAAUACUUACAUAGAAAUUAUGAAAUUUUAUCUGUGUUCAGUAGAUGGAGGCAGAGACAGUAAAUCAAUGAUACAAUCCAAUCCGCUUGUUUUUCUCCAGAAAAUGAUGUCAGAUAGGUCUAUCAGUAAAUAAAUGGCUUAGCUAUGCCCAGAAGUCCUCAAUAAUAAUAGUAUUUUCCAAGAAAUUAUGAAAAAUCGUUAACUUUUCGUUACUGCUACCACAGAGUGAAUGCGUAAGUGAAUGCGAUAAGAAAAGUUUUGGUUACGCUGACCUGUAAAACACUAUUCCAAAAGCAAAAUUAAACAUGUUAUACAUCGUUAGAAAGCUUAUACUCACACCUACUGAAUAAAUGAAUUGUCAAUCAAGCCAGACUGUACUAAAAAGGGCGACAAUGCCGUAAACAACAUGUAGUAUUAUGCACAGCUAUUUUGGAAGGUACCCAAGCAUCACAAAUGCGCGUAUAUCUCAUAAACAGAUUGUCCAAGACAAUAUAUGACCACAGUCUCAAAAGGGACAUACUCUACGCAUCAAACCAAUAAUUAGGUUAUGUAUUUAUUCAAUAUUUAGUCCCAGAUAUUGACUGUAGAAUGACAUGGUAUCAUUUUUUAAAACUUUGUCUCGUUUAUUUCGUUAUUCAGUGAGCAGCGUUUUCACUGCUGCAUUGGCAUAUCUUAGGGGUAUUGUCGGGUUUAUCUUGUUGCUGUGACGGAAUACGAUUUUUGAUUGGCAUUUUUAUUUAUAUUAACUUCUCCACCGACCUAGCUUACGGAAGAGGACGUGAAGAGACCGUAUGCGGAGUCACAAAACUGACGUAAUGUGAAACCAAUCAGUGAAUACGUCAUUAAUCCUGCCCACCCAAAUGGUUCUGCUGCACUAAGCACGGUUGUCUAACCGUGCCGAAAAUAUUGUGCUGGGCACGUUUUGUAAUCGUUCCCCGCCAAACCUUUCCAGGUGGAAACACCAUUGGAACCAUUCCUCUCCGUGCUCAGAACCAUUCGGCCCUGUGGUGGAAAAGGGACUCAUGUAUGAGAUCAUUGUAUAUCCGAAGGGGGAAAAAAGCGAGGGGAAGGGGGUGUUACGGAACUUAGGAAUCACACUACCAGGUGAUAGGUAGCUGAUUUGUAUAGGCAUACAAUCUACUUGGAUGUCGGUAAUUAUAUACACUCACCGGCCACUUUAUUAGGUACAACUUGGUAGCACCGGGCUAGCCUACUGACGCUGCUGGAAGACUGGACAGAGGCUACUAAUUAAAGCCACAAACUGAAAAUCAUACACUUCCUUUCUUGACAAUAUAACAAUAUGUAUAAUAACGAAACAAUCGGAGACGAUAAUAUAGCCCCACGGUGUACUGAAGCAGGCUAAUCAAUUAAUCACUUCUCGGCAGACGCACAUUCGACUUUAGUCUGCGCACAAGCCGACAUUAGAUUAACACCAAAAUAUACAUUUAUAAACGUGACAAAAUACCCCAAAACCCCCAAAUUACGAGAGUAUUAAUGUCCAGAAAGCAAUAGAAAUAGUUCAAAUACGAAUAAAGUUAAUCAUGAUUGCAAUCAAAGUCAAAGUUUGUGACAAAGAAGGAGCAAGAAGCCGCGGUUCAAAAAGGCAAUCUCACCACUCCGACGAACGAGAAGAAAGCAAUCCUUUUGCAACCACCCACAUCUUCUGACCGAGAAUAAUCCACAAGGAAAGUUUAUUCCAGCAGCUAAGAAUCCUGACAGUUUGCAAUUAGAUGAGCCCAAAUGCCGUGUUCACCUGCAUGCGCACACAUCCCUAGCACUUUGCCUGUGAGGGCGUCCUAUUCGUGGCACUGUCAUGCAAAAUAAGUUGAAAACACAUUAUUAUACUAAUGAAAACACAAAGUUCAAGUAUCCCUAUGAUUAUAAAGACCUGCUUUAAAUUAACCUCAUGCCGAUUUUCAAAAUUAAAUACACAUCCAUGAUAUAGGCUAUAGGGUGGAUUCAGCAAAUGUGACACUUGUUUGGUAAAUUCAGUAGGAGACUAUCAAAAACUUUUUUACUUGUACCAGUGAUGUUUCUAUGAAUUGUUUUAAGUCUUCUUAACAUCUAUGUGUGGAAUUUUUUUUUAAAUGUGUUUUUGUAUAGAAGAUAAACUCCCUUAAACAUAGCAUGGCACCUUCUUUCACUCAGUCGGAGUAUUCAGGUGAAGUGGGACAGCAUAUAUGGUGAAGUGGGACAGUCAUUUCAAACUUAACCCAUAAAUGUCCUUAGUGGAAGUUUUGAAAUUCCUUUGGUACACUUCUCAAGCUAGUUGAGCUGAUCACAAAUCUGUUUUUUUAAAUCUGCCAAUGUAUAAGGCACUAUUGCUCGUUUUUCUUAACAUACUAUUUUUAGUAUUUAGUCAAAAGGGUUUCUAGUUUUUUGAUUAUCCAUGAAAUAAUCUCUAGAAACAUAAGUUAGGAGUGUCAGAUCUUUAUCAUUUUUGGUACACAGAGUCCAGACUCUUACUGUUAAAGUGCAAAAAGAAAUAUGAUAAUAUUUUACUUAUUCAUUGUAUAGCCAGGAAAAUAUACAGGCAUGCACAUACUUCAAAACCAUGUAUAUAGAAUUCCUAUGGGACUUGUAGCAUUAGUGAUUUCUUUCCAUUUUAAAAAAGUUCUUUUUCACUGAAAAUUUGUUGCUGUCUCUCUCUCUCUCUAUCUCUCCCACAUACACACACAAACUCUGAUGCAUGCAAUUUUAUGUAACCUCAAUGUCUUUAUUAUGAUGUUCUCAUCAUCAUAUGAUACAUUUUAAAUUAAUUUCUGUAUAAACUAAAAAUAAAGCUUUAAGCACAAAAGUAGUAUAUCUAAUGUUAAGUUUGUAAACUACACUGCAUUUAGAUUGCAUUUGAAAAACGUUUGAAAAGCUGUACUUGAAUUGCAGACAAUUUAACCCGAAGUAAAAUCGCAUAGAGGCAAGGAAUGCUGAACAGUUCAUCAUUUGUCUCUUCUCUCCUACUGGACUUACACUACUACUUACACACAACUGUGUUCUAUCACUGGGUGGCACAGUUUUCCUGAAAUUAGGAAAAAAUAUCAAUAAUAUUUAUGAUUUUAUCAUACUUUUUGUGUAAAAAAAAUGUACUUGUUACUAUAAAAACAGUAAGAUAUGAAGUAGGCUACUGACAGACACCAAAUAAUCAUCAGUAUGGUUUAAACUAGCACGUAAGUGUAUAAAACUGUGGUAAAUUGUAUGUUUAUUACAACAGGACAACAUUGUCCCACUUCACCUGAAAAACACUGUCCCACUUUACCUAACAUGUUCAGCAGAAUCGGGAUAGUGCAAACCCCCCCCUUAAUCAUAAAAACUCAAGACAAUAUGACAAAAAACAUUUGUAUUUUGACCAGUGUCUUAGCCACUGUAUUGCAGAUCAAAAGAGGACGUUUUUGACUCGUUUUUAUUAACCUAGUAACCUUAUCAUUCCUAAGUGUCAUUUCACAUGCCGGUCCACUUACCGCUCACUCGCAAUGAUCAGUCUUAGUUUGAUGGCUGACCACGCCCACUGUAAAGACGGCACGCCGCAGUUCUAGUGUUAUAUAGGCUAUUCAGACACCGUGAGCCUGGCUGCUGUAUAAACCCGUGAGAUGUAGAAUGUAGGCUAUUUGAAAGGUGAACAGACAGUUAAUGACCCAAACGCAAAUAUUCAUGUAGGCUUUCAACCUUAAAAUAAGAUAUCCAGACUCUGAUGAUGUUGCUAGGUCACAGACAUCAGGAAGUCAUGGCAUGCAAAUGAUAUGCAACCAAAUCCAAAACAUGACUCUUUUAUUUGACAUUAUGUUAAUUUGUCUACUGUAUAAGUGAAUUUCCCUGUUUCUAGCUUUUCCCCAAACAGUUCACUGCAGCAAAAGUAAACGAGCAGGAGGUCUCAGGAGUGCAUUUAAUUCUUGCUCAUUUUCUGACCAAUGAUUUGUUGUUAAGACCUUUAAAAGCUUAAUAUUUUGCCAUUUUUUUUGCCCAGGAGUGUCGGUUAAAGCCUUUUUACAACUUGAUGGCUGCAUUAGAGAACAGCAGCAAUGGUUAUGCAUGGGGUGGUGCUGAAAUCUCAUAGUUUUACUUGUUUAGCAGGCGUCGAGGGGUAAGGGCGUGUACACACUAUCCGCCUUUUUCUGAGCUGCCUCCGUGAUUUUUUACAUGUAAACCUAUGUGACGCGACCGCAUGGUGGAAAAAAAGCAGCCACUCUAAAAAGGCAGCGCAUCACCCACCUUCCCUAAAAAAAAAAUGCCGGGCAGUGUGUGUGUACAUGCCCUAAUGUGGGGGCCUCCUCUGUAACUUCUUUUACAAAUUGUAGAGGGGGAAAAUGUGACGGGUGCUGGAGAAAAUGUCCGCAAGUCGCAAAUCUUGAAAUCGCGCUAGGAGGCAAAAAAGGUUUUUUAAUUUUUUUUUUUUUUACCGUUUUCCUUUUUUUCAUAUUACGAAAGUUAAAGUGUUGAAGAAGUCACUCAAUAGAAUAAACAACAUUUUUAGGGUCACUUAUAAUUUGUCAGCAAAGUCGGCUUGUUUUAGUGAUUCUUACAGCCGGGUUUUGGAGGCGUGAUGGGGGUGCAGUUUAAUUAGCAUGUUUGAUUUCGUUGGCUAUUGUCACUUUGUUUCAGUCAAGCCACCGCCCAUAAAUAAAGCCGUGUGGUAGUAGCCUA